rnacentral:rRNA from 1 species
AUUGAACGCUGGCGGCAGGCCUAACACAUGCAAGUCGAGCGAGCGGCGGACGGGUGAGUAAUGUAUGGGGACUGCCCGAUAGAGGGGGAUAACUACUGGAAACGGUGGCUAAUACCGCAUACUAUCGGAUAACCCAUAGGGGAUUAGCUAGUUGGUGGGGUAAAGGCUCACCUAGGCGACGAUCUCUAGCUGGACUGAGAGGAUGGUCAGCCACACUGGAACUGAGACACGGCCCAGACGCCUACGGAGGCGGCAGUGGGGAAUAUUGCACAAUGGGUGCAAGCCUGAGGAAGCCAUGCCGCGUGUAUGAAGAAGGCCUUAGGGUUGUAAAGUACUUUCAGCGGGGAGGCGGUACCCGCAGAAGAAGCACCGGCUAACUCCGUGCCAGCCGCCGCGGUAAUAC